rnacentral:lncRNA from 1 species
UAGUUCCCAAUUCUCAUCUACCUCCAAUCUGCAACUCCAAUUCCUUAAAUUCACCGUCUUCUAAAUCUUGAUCAUCGAUCAAGGCUGUUUUGUUGCAAUUGAAGCCGAAGCCGGCGAAUCAGAAGAAGCCCUUGAUCUCAGAGCAAUUUAGACUCGAUCCUUCAAUGUCCAGUACUAGGCGUUAUAGCUGAGUUCUGAUGAUAGUUGACAAUGCGUUUCCUCUGUCGCAUCAAUAUGAAUUUCGAUUGAUUUGGAAAUUGGCAUCGUUUUGGUUAGCUUUUGCCUGUUGCUUUUUAUGGGUUGUUUUCUUCAACAAGUAUUAGUUUUGGUGAAUUAUGUUGGGUAUUUAUGGGAUUCAGGUUUUGGUUAUGUUUGAUUAUUAUUGGGUUUUGAUGCUGUUCUUGAAAUCUCAUGUUUGGUUGCUGGGAAAUUGAAGCAGGACAAGAAGAGAGAAGAAAAUGCAGUGAACCUUUUUUGGUUGUUAGUUUGAGUUUAUUAUGCAAGUCUAUUGGUUUUACUGUUGUUGCUUGAAGAUUAUUAGUUUGAUUAUUGAGUUGGUAGUGCUAUAGGAAUUUUAGAUUGCCGUACUGAUGAGUUUAGGAAUUGACAGGAGAGGAAUACCAGUUUGAAGAAUUUGUGCAGGCGGAUUCCGAACUUCGCUCCCCAGAAGCAGGCAUAUCAAAGAGCCAAAUUCACAACACUAAGGCCGUGGAAAACUGAAGUUAUCUCGAAGAAAGUAGUCAUUGCACUUGGCAAGAGUGUAGCUGGAAGUAUCAAAGAGUAAGUUGUGACUAUGGAUUUUGAGGGUCUGACUAUUUGAAGAGUAUAGGAUUAUAGAGGGAUUUUAUAGUAGGUUGGGAGAAGCCCAAUGUGUUUAUGAAUGUCCCUAUUUGACAUCCAACUAUAUUGUUGUUCUGUUGUCAAAGCUUGCUGUUCUUUUUUUUUCUUUUUCAUGCUGCAUACAUAAAUAUGCUAGAAGGUGAUCUACUGAUCUAGAAUGUGAUCUUUGGGUUGUCAAAGAAUGCAUCUAGGUCCUAGAUUUGGCCCAGUCUAAUC